GACGUAGGGAGCGAGCGUUGUCCGGAUUUACUGGGCGUAAAGGACGCGUAGGCGGUCCGUUAAGUGUGAAGUGAAAUCUCCAGGGCUCAACCCGGAAACUGCUUCGCAUACUGGCGGACUGGAGGGAUGCAGAGGUAAGUAGAAUUCCUGGUGUAGCGGUGAAAUGCGUUGAUAUCAGGAGGAAUACCGAUGGCGAAGGCAGCUUACUGGGCAUCAUCUGACGCUGAGGCGUGAAAGCGUGGGUAGCAAACAGG
rnacentral:rRNA from 1 species